UACGUAGGGUGCAAGCGUUGUCCGGAUUUAUUGGGUUUAAAGGGUGCGUAGGUGGCCUUCUAAGUCCGUGGUGAAAGCCUGCAGCUUAACUGUAGGACUGCCAUUGAUACUGUAGGGCUUGAGUACUGAUGAGGUAGGCGGAAUUGAUAGUGUAGCGGUGAAAUGCAUAGAUAUUAUCAAGAACACCGAUUGCGAAGGCAGCUUACUAAGGAGUUACUGACACUGAGGCACGAAAGCGUGGGGAUCAAACAGG
rnacentral:rRNA from 1 species